rnacentral:rRNA from 1 species
ACUCAAAUGAAUUGACGGGGACUCGCACAAGGGGUGGAUCAUGUGGCUUAAUUCGUCGACAAGCGAAGAACCUUACCAAGGCUAGAAACCAAACUGCAUUCCUUCUGAAAAGUUGGAAGCCUUCGAGGGUGUUUGGCAGGUGAUGCAUGGUCGUCGUCAGUUCGUGGCUUGAGCUGUUCCCUUCAGUGGGGUAACGAACGCAACCCUCGUUGUCUGUUACUUAUGUCAGGCGAGACUGCCCCCUCACGGGGGAGGAAGGUGAGGAUGACGCCAGAUCAGCAUGUCCCUUGAUGCCUUGGGCUGCACACGUGAUACAAUGGUCGGUACAGAAGGACGCAAGACCGCAAGGUGGAGCAAAUCCCAAAAACCGACCCCAGUACGGAUAGAGGUCUGCAACGACCUCUUGAAGCCGGAAUCCCUAGUAAUCGUAGGUCAGCCAUACUACGGUGAAUACGUUCUCGAGUCUUGUACACACCGCCCGU